UAUUGGACAAUGGAGGCAACUCUGAUCCAGCCAUGCCGCGUGAAGGAAUAAGGCCCUAUGGGUUGUAAACUUCUUUUAGACGGGACAGAACCCCUUUACGUGUAAAGGGUUGAUGGUACUGUCAGAAUAAGCAUCGGCUAACUUCGUGCCAGCAGCCGCGGUAAUACGAAGGAUGCAAGCGUUAUCCGGAAUUAUUGGGUUUAAAGGGUGCGUAGGCGGACUAAUAAGUCAGUGGUGAAAGCCUGCAGCUUAACUGCAGAAUUGCCAUUGAUACUGUUAGUCUUGAGUACAGUUGAGGUAGGCGGAAUGUGUCAUGUAGCGGUGAAAUGCUUAGAGAUGACACAGAACACCGAUUGCGAAGGCAGCUUGCUAAGCUGUAACUGACGCUGAGGCACGAAAGCGUGGGGAG
rnacentral:rRNA from 1 species